rnacentral:rRNA from 1 species
GACAGAGGGUGCAAACGUUGUUCGGAUUUACUGGGCGUAAAGCGCGUGUAGGCGGCUUGGCAAGUCGGAUGUGAAAGCCCACGGCUCAACCGUGGAAGCGCAUCCGAAACGGCCUCGCUCGAGUCUCGGAGAGGAAGGUGGAAUGCUUGGUGUAGAGGUGAAAUUCGUAGAUAUUCGCAAGAACACCAGUGGCGAAGGCGGCUCACUGGCCCGGUACUGACGCUGAGGUGCGAAAGCGUGGGGAGCAAACAGG